AAGUUUGACCCCCCGAAACUAGGCGAGCUACUCUAAAACAGCCCACAGAGCUAACCCAUCCCUGUCGCAAAAGGGUGAGAAGAUUUUAAAGUAGAGGUGACACACCUAUCGAGCCCAGAGAUAGCUGGUUAUUCAAAAAACGGAUUUAAGUCCAACUUUAAGUUUUACAAGUACCACCAAACAACCUACAAACUUAAAAGCCAUUCAAAUAAGGUACAGCCUAUUUGAACAAGGAAACAACCUAUAAUAUAGGGUAAUGUUUACUAACGCGGCUAAGUAGGCCUAAAAGCAGCCACCUUCUAAAAAGCGUCUAAGCUUCCCCUCAAACAAUCCCUAAUCCCCUAAUUAAACCACAACCCUCAACCACCACUGAAUGACCCCAUACCCAUAUGGAAGACAUUAUGUUAGAACUAGUAACAAGAAGAUGAACUUCUCCCAAAUGCAGGUAUAAGCCAAAAUGAACCCCUCCCUGGCACUUAUCGCUUACCAUAGUAUACCACCUCAAGAAUAUUCUACUUCUCCAAGCGCUAACCUUACACCAGAGCAUUACCGGAAGAUUAAAAAAGGGGGAAGGAACUC
rnacentral:rRNA from 1 species